GACGGAGGUCCCGAGCGUUGUUCGGAAUUAUUGGGCUUAAAGCGCGUGUAGGCGGAGCCGUAAGUACCUUGUGAAAUCCCCGGACUCAAUCCGGGAACUGCUCGGUAUACUGCGGUUCUCGAGGCAGGUAGAGGUCACUGGAACCUUAGGUGGAGCGGUGAAAUGCGUAGAUAUCUAAGGGAACGCCUGUGGCGAAAGCGGGUGAACUGGGCCUGUCCUGACGCUGAGACGCGAAAGCGUAGGGAGCAAACGGG
rnacentral:rRNA from 1 species